rnacentral:rRNA from 1 species
UACGUAGGGUGCAAGCGUUAAUCGGAAUUACUGGGCGUAAAGCGUGCGCAGGCGGUUUUGUAAGUCUGUCGUGAAAUCCCCGGGCUUAACCUGGGAAUGGCGAUGGAGACUGCAAGGCUAGAGUUUGGCAGAGGGGGGUAGAAUUCCACGUGUAGCAGUGAAAUGCGUAGAGAUGUGGAGGAACACCGAUGGCGAAGGCAGCCCCUGGGUCAAAACUGACGCG